GAUGGAGCGUCUUAUGGUAGUGACAGUGCCAUGGAAGCCAAGGACCGUGGAGCUCAAACAUGGUCGCGUAGAGUUGAAGCAGUCUUUCCUAUAAAGAGCCAGAAUACAAGUCUGGAGAAGGUGGUUAGGACUUGGUUCUCGCAGAGAACAAGUCUGGAGUGAGACUGGGAGAUUGAUCUUCUCCUCUGAAGGAUGGAUCAAGGGAGCGGUUGUUUAGUACUUCUCUCUCAUAGAGGAAGUAAGGAGUCGUUGAUUGG
rnacentral:misc_RNA from 1 species